rnacentral:rRNA from 1 species
GAUGAACGCUGGCGGCGCGCUUAACACAUGCAAGUCGAGCGAAGCGCUUAAGUUUGAUUCUUCGGAUGAAGACUUUUGUGACUAAGCGGCGGACGGGUGAGUAACGCGUGGGUAACCUGCCUCAUACAGGGGGAUAACAGUUAGAAAUGACUGCUAAUACCGCAUAAGACCACGGCACCGCAUGGCACAGCGGGAAAAACUCCGGUGGUAUGAGAUGGACCCGCUUCUGAUUAGGUAGUUGGUGGGGUAACGGCCUACCAAGCCGACGAUCAGUAGCCGAACUGAGAGGGUGACCGGCCACAUUGGGACUGAGACACGGCCCAGAUUCCUACGGGAGGCAGCAGUGGGGAAUAUUGCACAAUGGAGGAAACUCUGAUGCAGCGACGCCGCGUGAAGGAUGAAGUAUUUCGGUAUGUAAACUUCUAUCAGCAGGGAAGAAAAUGACGGUACCUGACUAAGAAGCCCCGGCUAACUACGUGCCAGCCGCCGCCGUAACAC